UGGGAAAUGGACGAUGGCUGCAAUAAUCUUUGGAUGGGAUCGCUCCGUUGCAAAGGGGAAGCGCUGCUCUGAGCUCUGCCUUAAUGCCUCUCUGUGCCAUUCCAGUGUGAGUUCAGCUCUGCUGCUCCCCAUGUCUGCAAUGUCUGCAGGGUCUUCCGUGCAUGCCGUGCUCCAAGCAUCAGAGUCACUGGGCAACGCCGUGCAGCAGCAGGGCGGGCUCUGCAAAGGGAAUUGCAUCUGAACAGCGUUGCAUCUGAAUAGCGCUGCACCUGCAGAGUGUUGCAUCUGAACAGCAUUGCAUCUGAACAGCACGGUACCUGCACAGUAUUGCAUCUGCACAGUGUUACAUCCAAACAGCGUUGCACCUGAGCAACACAGUGCCUGCACAGUGUUUGCAUCUGAACAGCACAGUAUCUGCACAGCGUUGCAUCUGAAUAGCAUUGCACCUGCACAGUGUUGCAUCUGAACAGCAUUGCACCUGCUCAGCAUUGCAUCUGAACAACACAGUACCUACACAGCGUUGCAUCUGAACAGAACAGCACCUGCAUAUCAUUGCAUCUGAACAGCAUUGCGACUGCGUGGCACUGCAUCUGAAUAGCACUGCGCCUGCACUGCUUUGCACCUGCACGGUGUUGCACCUGCACUGCUUUGCACCUGCACAGUAAUGGCAUUGCACUUGCACAGAAGGAGAGGGAGAGAAAGCAGCCCUGGGAUCGGGACCUGCUGCUCACAGGGCCCCGCAGGGCUGUGCCCUCACUGUUUGCCCACAUCCCACCGAAAUCCCACGGGAUCGAUGGGGGUCGGCCGGGUGCACCGCCCCGAGGCCAUGGGAUCGAUGAGGAGUGAAGGAAAUGCGGCCGAAGAUGCGCGGUUUUACAGCUUCCUCCCCAAGAACGGCCGUGCUUUAUGGACUGCUGGUAAUUGCCAAUUAAUUGCGCUGCAGCCGAGGGCAGGAAAGCAGCCCGCAUCCUCCAUACGGGGUGGGCAGGUGAGAACAACCUCCUUUUCCCCCCCCUUUUUUUCCAUGCAACCCCUCCAGUGAUGUCUCAAGC
rnacentral:lncRNA from 1 species